rnacentral:rRNA from 1 species
CCUACGGGAGGCUGCAGUGGGGAAUAUUGGACAAUGGGCGAAAGCCUGAUCCAGCCAUGCCGCGUGUGUGAAGAAGGCCUUCGGGUUGUAAAGCACUUUCAGUGGGGAAGAAAGCCUUGGGGCUAAUACCCUCGAGGAAGGACAUCACCCACAGAAGAAGCACCGGCUAACUCCGUGCCAGCAGCCGCGGUAAUACGGAGGGUGCGAGCGUUAAUCGGAAUUACUGGGCGUAAAGCGCGCGUAGGCGGUCUGAUAAGCCGGUUGUGAAAGCCCCGGGCUCAACCUGGGAACGGCAUCCGGAACUGUCAGGCUAGAGUGCAGGAGAGGAAGGUAGAAUUCCCGGUGUAGCAGUGAAAUGCGUAGAGAUCGGGAGGAAUACCAGUGGCGAAGGCGGCCUUCUGGACUGACACUGACGCUGAGGUGCGAAAGCGUGGGUAGCAAACAGGAUUAGAUACCCCGGUAGUC